rfam:Anisakis simplex genome assembly, scaffold: ASIM_contig0005921
CCCGCGGUGGCUCAGAGGUAGAGCCUAAUCCAAUAAUUGGUACGUCGCGGGUUCGAUUCCCGGUCGCGGAG